ensembl:lncRNA
GGUUGAUUGCCCGGGUGACUGGGGAGAACACUGACAGCCACUGCGGUUCCACUGAGACCUUCAGCCGCAGAGACCAAAGACCAGCAACAUCAGACAGCCAAAUUACCUGCCCUGUAAUUGGUCCUCAGGCGCUGAUGAAUGUGGCCAUAAGAACGGGCAGGCAGCGCAUGUUUUUAAACGUUUGCAUUCCGUAGUCGAUCCCCUGACCGCUACAGUGAAUAGGAAUUUGCAGACAAGCUGCUCACAAACCAGCCCCUGGUUCAUCCGUGGCGGAAACUGUCCAUCUGGCCAGAGGAGGAGCCAGAUGCUGGGGAUUUAGAGGCUGAUUUGGUCCUGCAUUUUGACCCACCCCUCCCCCUUUACACUGACCCUUUCAGCUGACCACACCCCCUCCCCCCAGGGGCCAGCUGCCGGCUGCACCAGACCAGCCCAGAUGUUCAUCUGGAGACACUCAUCUGGCUUUGACCACAGAUUUCACCAUCAGUUGACUGACAAAACACAUGUAGAGAUUCAGCCGGGGCAGAUCAUUUGGUUCUGAAGCAAGAGAGACAGGCGGGGACUUGUCAGGCUGAAUGGCCCCAAAGCACUCAGACAUUAAGCCCUUCAAACAUCCAGAGGGACUGCCUCUGGUGCUGGCUGCACCUCUUGUGACCAACGUAAUGAGUUGAAACGAAUCGCACAUGAAUCAAAUCUGUCAAAAG